GACGAACGCUGGCGGCGUGCUUAACACAUGCAAGUCGAACGGAAAGGCCCUGCUUUUGUGGGGUGCUCGAGGGGCGAACGGGUGAGUAACACGGGAGUAACCUGCCCUUGACUUUGGGAUAACUUCAGGAAACUGCGGCUAAUACAGGCGAGGAGCUCCUGCUGCAGGGUGGGGGUUGGAAAGCAUCGGCGGAUGGGGAUAGACUCCGGGCUUAUUAGCUGGUUGGUGGGGUAGUGGCUUACCAAGGCUUUGACGGAUAGCCGGCCUGGGAGGGGGGCCAGCCACAAUGGGACUGAGAGACGGCGCAGUGUCCUACGGUAGGCAGCAGUGGGGAAUAUUGCCCAAUGGGCGGGAGCCUGUUGCAGAAACGCCGCGUGCGGGAUGACCGCCUUCUGGUUGUAAACCGCUUUCGCUUGUUACGAAGCUUUAGUGACGUUACUGAGUAAAUAAGCACCGGCUAACUACGUG
rnacentral:rRNA from 1 species